rnacentral:rRNA from 1 species
AGCAGCCGCGGUAAUUCCAGCUCCAAUAGCGUAUAUUAAAGUUGUUGCAGUUAAAAAGCUCGUAGUCGAAUUUCGGGAUCAAAUUGUUGGUCGUGCCUCGGUACGCACUGGCAUUAUCGGUUCCUACCUUCUGAAGAACCGCGAUGUCAUUAAUUUGGUGUCGUGGGAAUCAGGACUGUUACUUUGAAAAAUUAGAGUGUUUAAAGCAGGCUUACGCUUGAAUACAUUAGCAUGGAAUAA